ensembl:lncRNA
UUUACUUAACCCGACAUGAAUUAAAAGUGAUCUGAUAUUAAAUGAAUAUCUGAAAUUCAUUUCUCAGUCCCUGGAGUAAACUGCAGAAUACCUAGCUCCCUGUUGUGUUUUGUGGAAUGUCGUAAAUCAAAGAGAGCAUACUCCCAAAGAAGCUGUGUGGAUUCUCCAGAGAAUGGGUGUUACGGGUUCAGAAAACAAGGAAAUGUCACUGCAGUAACCUGUCUGCAGGAGUGAGUUCAAGCCCCAUCUUCCUUCCAUCAUUCAAAGGUUAUGAGCACAUUUUGCAGAGAGCCUUUUAACUGCAAAAUCCCAAAGGGAUGUGCAGCUAUGGAAUGCUGUAAUGUACCUGGCAGAAAAAAGAAACUGGAAGAGUUCCAGACUGACUUGUGCAUCAGACAUGGGAAGAGUAUGGAUGCCAUCGAGCUCUGUGGAAAGCUUGUCUCCAGUUGUAAAGCAUUUGUACAGCUGCAGGACAGAUACACAUAUGGAUUAUCACUUAAAAGAUGAAAAAAACAUGUUUUCUAUCAUAGAUGGAGUUUUAUUAUACUUAUUAUUAGCUUCUUGACAGUAUUUAUCAUUUCUAGGCAUUUUUACAACUAGACUGUUUGCUAACAUAUACGAUUUAGAGAGCUGCUUCCUAUAUACUAUUGCAGGCUGAAUUCCAGUGCAACUUCAUUCAUUUCAACUGUUGUGCUGUAAAAUUUCUGAGACUGAUGGUAUGUGAUAUAACCAGAGAGCAAUUCCUUAAAAGCAGUACACAAACAACCAGAUGACCUAUACAGUUUAUCCAAUCUUUGUGGGUUUUUUUUAAUUGAGAAAUUGAAGUUACUGGGUCAGUUUAAUCCUAAAAAUUUUAUCUAGGUUGAGUGCAACACUCAAAUGUUGGCUGCUGUAAGCUCCUGCUUUGCUAGAGAUCAGCCCAGUGGAUGGUGCCUGAUGGGGAAAAAUGAGUUGGAAGCUAUUGAUGCUGCCUGUUGUACAGAAUUUCCUGAAAUAAGUGACUUAAGCUCUUUGGACCUUGAUUGAGUUUCCACAAGUAAGUAAUGAUAGGUGUAUCUAUUUCUAAUCUUCUAGGCACAAAUUUACUGUUCAACUGACUGUUGCUGGGGGCAGGCAAACAGCAGUGGUAGAAACAGGGUGAGAAAGAGUUGGGAGGUUGUUCUGAAGGAGGCAUUCAGUGAUGGUCGCUACAGAGGGGCAGACCAUACCCGCUCUUUGCUGCUUUCCUUCCUACUGCUCACAGGACCUGUUCUGUGUGAUGGGCGAACACAAGUGCUGAUCCCAGGCCUGGCUGGCUCAAAAGGGGUUCUUUGAGAGUGCUGGUGCAGCUGUCCUGUGGACACCCACAGCAAAACCCUUCACAUCUCCAGUGGGGCUAUAACGGCUCUCCUAAAAAUGAUACAUAGUAACAAAGGGCAGCCUUUGCAGGGAGAGCUACAGAUGACACAACUGUGCUUGACCAAAAUAUAAGGUUGUUAUCGUUACCCAAAAGCAGAAGUAUGACCCAGAGACCCCGUGAGAGCAAACGGAAACGAAUUUUCUAAGCUCGAGCUCGAACUUUGCCCCAAAAAAUAAUAAAUACCGAUUACUCGUAGUUUGGAGACCUGGUUUUGCAGCCCUGACCUCCGCCUUGCUUCUCCCUCCUUUCUCCGUUUGCUGCCGUUUAAAUACCCCUGCGCUGAGGUACUUAAACGCGCGCUGAGGCGCUCCGGUCCUGCCAGCGCGAGUCCUGCCCGCAGCCCUGGGCCGCGCCUCGCCGACCCGUCUCCUCAGGCGCAGUGCUGCCGCGUGCCGCCCCGUGCCUCUGCCAGGCCCCGCGCCGCGCUCCGCCAUGGAGGGGCGGGGACGGGGGGAGCGGCGGCGCAGGCCCCGCCCGGCGGCAGCAGCGGCGGCAGCGGCGGGG